GGGACCGACGGCUGCAGAGAGAGACUGAGACGCAGGGAUGGAGGGGAGGGGGUACGCGGGAGACCGAGGGUGGCAGAGACCGAGACAAAGCUCCCGAGAGGGGAGCUGAAGCGGGAGAGACAGAGCCGAGGACGCGCGUUUGGGGAGGACGCAGAAGCCGCCGAAACAAUAAGGGCGACCGACACCUUAGACAGGGAGAGACAGAGACCUCGAUCGGCUGCCGGCCGUCGCGCCGAGGGACGAUGGAGGGACUGAGAAAGGCGAGGCUAAGUCGAGACGUUGUUAUUGAAGAUGAUAGGAUUGAUGACGUGCUGAAAAAUAUGACCGACAAGGCACCUCCUGGUGUCUAACUCCCCCAAAGACAAUGAGUUAAGGGAGAGAAUAAGAACGGCGGUAACAGUUAUUGGCAAAAAGCAUGAAAAGAGAAAGCACUUUGAAAUUUAUUACUAGCUUGCUACCCACGAUGAAAUCAACAACCUGUAUCUGGUAUCAGGCCGGGAGACAGAUGAGGCGAGAGGAGGAGGAGGAGGAGGAGAAGGCUCUGGGCUCCUCUGCAAAAAUAAAAAUAAAAAAAUAAAUAAAAUUUUAAAAAUAAUAAAAAUUCACUAUAUACACAUAUAAAGAAAUAAAAAGAAGUCUCAGUUGCAGCUAUUUGUCAAAAUUAAUAUCCAUUUCUUUUUAUAUACGGUGAAUAUUGCGCAAUUAUAGAUCUGGAUUUUGAACCACUUAAUGAAGCGGCAACACCAGGUGUUUUGAGGUGUUGGCAUUCUUCGCUGAUUUGGCUGUUCCCAAUGUUUACAUUAUUUAAUCUU
rnacentral:lncRNA from 1 species